UACGUAUGGAGCAAGCGUUAUCCGGAUUUACUGGGUGUAAAGGGAGCGCAGGCGGAUUUGCAAGUCUGAUGUGAAAGGCCGGGGCUCAACCCCGGGACUGCAUUGGAAACUGUAAAGCUAGAGUGCCGGAGAGGUAAGCGGAAUUCCUAGUGUAGCGGUGAAAUGCGUAGAUAUUAGGAGGAACACCAGUGGCGAAGGCGGCUUACUGGACGGCAACUGACGCUGAGGCUCGAAAGCGUGGGGAGCAAAUAGG
rnacentral:rRNA from 1 species